AGCUUAGUGGCGCACGGGUGAGUAACACGUGAGUAACCUGCCCCCGAGAGCGGGAUAGCCCUGGGAAACUGGGAUUAAUACCGCAUAGUAUCGAAAGAUUAAAGCAGCAAUGCGCUUGGGGAUGGGCUCGCGGCCUAUUAGUUAGUUGGUGAGGUAACGGCUCACCAAGGCGAUGACGGGUAGCCGGUCUGAGAGGAUGUCCGGCCACACUGGAACUGAGACACGGUCCAGACACC
rnacentral:rRNA from 1 species